rnacentral:lncRNA from 1 species
AAAAACCCUAAAACCACCCGCCACCUUCAUCUCCCAUCUUCAACAAAAACACACACACACAAAGCCAACCAUCCAACACUCGAACGACCACCCCAGAAACGCCUGAACCACCAACACGCACACACACAGUCCGUCGACCACCUGAAACAGCCCGCCUAACGUCCACCACGACCACGUCCGGCAGACACCACCAGCUUCGUCCAAAUGACUACCUCCCUUCACGCCAGCCCUACUACCAACGACCACCGUCGACUCCAUCAACUCUUCGACCACAGACGAAUGACCAGCGAACAAAAUGACCCCCAACCCAUCGACUCACCUUCUCCAUAACCACCCUCCAGUCCAAAACGAGACCAGCCAUCCGAGGUUGUGCUCAGUCGUACGUCGAGGCAGUGCGUCGAGGUUCCGUUCGAGUCUGUAUUUGUUAGUCAAGCUUCAAAACAGUAUUGUGAACGAAGCUGUGUUUCAUCGUAAGUUCAGCAUUGUUCGACGUCGGAUCGUUAGCAUAAAGGUCAGCCAUAGCUCGUUCACGGAUUUUUGCUUUUUCUUUGGAGUUUCGUCUUCACUGUGUGUAACGGAGCAAGAAAGUGCAGUAGUAAAGUUCAUAUCUCUUACCUCAAAUUUAUGUUAUUCACGGACCUAUUUGUGGUUUCGUUUUAAUAUGUGGGUUCAUUUUGAUAAAAUUUUCGCAUGAAGUAUCCUAUUGCAUAUUCGUUGAAAUUAUAUGUGUGUGCGUUUUGACGACUUUCCUACUGUUUUGAGUUCAAUUGAUGAUUGUGUUUAGUGAUUUGGAUCUACUUGUUUGUUCUGUUAAGUUUGUUCUGAUAUGAAUCUGGCCUUGUUGAAUUUUCCUAAUGUUGUUGAUUAGGAGUUAGUUUCAUGUGUUUAAUUAGUCAAUUGUUAGGAUUUCUAACUUAGUUGAAUUGGUUAUAGCUGAUGGAUUUGGUACGGAUUGAAAGGGGUUGAGGUAGGAUAGUAGUUCAGGGCAUUCAGGAGGGUAGCUUGGGAUUUGAGAAGUUUGAAAUGGUUAAUGAGAGUGGUCUGACAGUAAAGGUACCAAUAUAACCAUUAAACUAGUGUAUUGUCCCAUAAUAGUGGGAUGGGAAUCAAUAAUAGUAUGAGAGGUUUAUUGGGAGUAAUUAAAGUAAAAAGUACCCAUAACAUGUGAAUUAAUUAUUGAAACGGGACAUAUAGUAGUGGGGAACAAGGAAAUUAAGUAAAGAAAAGACAAAGGUAGUGGGGAACAAAACAUAAUGGUAGGGGAAGGCUUAAAAGGGAUUGAUUAAAAUAUGUGGUCCAUGCCGGUUUGAACAUUAAAUAAAGGAAAAGAUAUACUCUAGUGGAAUAAAAAGAAGAUCAUGGGCAGAAUUAGUGGAAGAAUUCUGCGUGAGUGCUUUUGAGAGGGGGGCAAGGUCAGUGUUUGGUAUAAAUAGGGGUCUGGACAGAGUUAAAAAAGGGGGGAUCCUUUUUUUUUUGAGUCUGGUCCUGGUUUUUCUUUUGGGCAUACCUUAGAAGAGAAAAGCAAUCUGAAAAGAGAGAGAAAAGAGUUCAAAGUUUGAAUACAAACAGGUUUUGAGAUAGCUUGAGAGGAGUUUGGGUGUAGUGUUGCAGUAGUGUGUUUCUUCUGAUUUCAUUUCUGAGGUCGUUUGAGCUGUUUGAGUUUGAGUGUUCUGGUUUUAACUGGUUUCAAAUUCACCUGGGUUUGCUGCAUAUGUUACUGGGUUGUUUGUGGAUUGUUGUUUGUAUUGCUGCUCGUAUUACUGUUGUACUGCUGCUGACUUCCUUUUUAUUCUUCUGUUUCCUCCAAUCCAGGUACUCCCAUGGACCUCGUAUGAACUGUAAAGGAUCAAUGUAGGUCUGAUUUGGAGAUUAAAUGAUAAAGUGCUGCUUGGGUUGAUCUCUGAAUUUUUUCUGUUUUGUUUUGGUUUAAAGGUGUAAA